rnacentral:lncRNA from 1 species
CCUGAAUAAAUGAUUACUCAAAUUAGCGCACUUCCAAAGACUAUCAACAAGUUUAGGCGACUCGAUUUUGUGUAGCUUUCUGUCCUUUUUAACGGUUUAGUUUUUACACUUAACAUGUUUUCAUAUCCAAACUGCAAGAAGGAAACUGAUCGCGAGAUUGUAUACAAGUGUCAUGUUGUGAGGAUACAUGUGGAUCGGACUG